AACGAACGCUGGCGGCAUGCCUAACACAUGCAAGUCGAACGAGACCUUCGGGUCUAGUGGCGCACGGGUGCGUAACGCGUGGGAACCUGCCCUUAGGUUCGGAAUAACUCCCCGAAAGGGGUGCUAAUACCGGUUAAUGUCUUCGGACCAAAGAUUUAUCGCCUUUGGAUGGGCCCGCGUUGGAUUAGCUAGUUGGUAGGGUAAAAGCCUACCAAGGCGACGAUCCAUAGCUGGUCUGAGAGGAUGAUCAGCCACACUGGGACUGAGACACGGCCCAGACUGCUACGGGAGGCAGCAGUGGGGAAUAUUGGACAAUGGGCGAAAGCCUGAUCCAGCAAUGCCGCGUGAGUGAUGAAGGCCUUAGGGUUGUAAAGCUCUUUUACCCGGGAUGAUAAUGACAGUACCGGGAGAAUAAGCUCCGGCUAACUCCGUG
rnacentral:rRNA from 1 species